rnacentral:lncRNA from 1 species
AAUUGUCUCCUCUAUAUUAACUCUUAUCAAGAGUCUUAUCUUUUCGAUGUGGAACAUGAGUUUUUUUCAAUAAUGACCUUUAAAGUUUAAACACGCGGCAUCUUUGAAUUCUACAUAGAAAAAAAAAAUAGAAUUAUAGCGUGUUAUGUUUGUUUCUCUAGAGCAUGAGACAUUUCAUUGUUCAGUUUAUGUUGUCAUGGAAAGGCAUAUGAGUGAUGGGUGUACAUCAUCGAUCGGUGGUUUGAUUCUCGUGAAUAGAACAAAAAAAAUCUGAGCUCAAUGGUACAAAUCCUUACGAUGAAAGGUGAGAUAUAGUAGGAUUGUGUGUGGAUAGUUGUAAAUGUUAUCUUUUUUAAUUCUAGUAGAUCAAAAUUGUUAAUCUCAUUUCAUGGUAAAAAUUAAAUAGUCCAUUUGUGAGGGACUCAAUAGCUCCUUCACCUUAGACGUCACCCUUAAUUAAUAAGAAACUAACGGCGAGGGACUCAACUCCCUCACCUUAGACGUCACCAUUGAUUAAUAAGAAACUAACGAUUGAAGUAAAUAAACGAGAAAGAAACUCAAACUUCUUUCUAAACUUUCUUUCUCUUUCGUUCAUCAAGGAGGGGUGGUUUUUGACCUAGAAUCACCCCUCUACAUCUUUUUUCCCAUUUUCUUUCAAUCUAAAUAAGUGGUUUUCACAUACAAGUGUUUCCUUUUGUGUUUUUUGUGAUUUUGUCGUCUAAGUACAACGCUGUGUUGGUCGUCGUCUUGUGCGGCGUUUGAUUUCACGUCUUGUCGCGGCGUUCGUUUAGUUUCUAUUGAAAGAUUGACAUCGGUCAAUUAUAAAUCCAAUCAAUGAUUUGGGUGUGAAUGUUGCCGAUCUAGAAACAUGAGUAUUUCGGUGACUUAGAUUUAAUCAUAUUAGUUGUAGCAUUUUGUCAUUUUAUGUUAUUAACUUGGGUGCUGUGAGUUUGUUCGCAGUUUUACCCUUUACGUUUCUAGCGAUUUUUGUAUCUGAUGUACUCUAUCAAUCUGAAUGAAUGAAUAUCGUUUUGUUUUUAUUAAAAAAAAAAAAUAAAAAAAAAACUAACGGUUAAAAGUUUGCUCUACAUGCCUACAAUGAUAAUAAAUAGAGAUAAUUUACUACAACUUUUAAAACAAUGAUGCUCAUUUAUAGGAACUUUACCAUAAAUAAGUCUCCAAAGAAAAAAUGAUUUGGAUUGAGGAAUUGAAGGUUUCCAAAUAAGCUAUGUCCAUGAUUGAUCAUAUGCAGAAACUUGACAAAAACUAUCAGCAUCCUAAACUGAAAGAGAACCUGAUGAAGAACCCUUCUAAGCAAGAUAUUCAGUGGAAAACUAUACCCCGAUAUUUAUCAAAUUUCAUAUUUCACCAAUUCAACUCUCUCUAUCAAUAGUAUAUAUAUAAAGUAAGAUUUUUUAUGACACGUGUCACUUCCACGUUUAUUCGCAAUAUUUUUAUUUUUUUUCUAAUUUUUCAAAACCAAUAUUUAAUUUGGCAUAAAUAUCUCAACAAACUUUUGAUCUUAUCUAUUAAAUAUUUUACUUAACUAUUUAUUGAAUUCCUAAUAUUUUAUGUAAUAGAAAUAUCUCAACAAAAUUACAUACGAUACCCUUCAAUUAAAAAUCAUCAAUCAAUCAAUAGUAUAUAUAGUAAGGUUUCUUAUGCCACGUGUCACUUUCAUGUUUAUUCGCAAUAUUUUUAUUAUUUUUAUAUUUUUUAAAAUCAAUAUUUAAUUUUGUAAAAAAAAAAUCAAUAUUUAAUUUGGCAUAAAUAUUUCAACAAAAUUUUAACCUUAGGGAUGGCAAUGGGUACCCUAUCCCAAUGGAUAGGGUACUAUAGUACCCUAUCCAUUGGGUACUCAUUGCCAUAAAUGUAUUGGUCUAUUCUCCACUAUCAUAAAUAUAAAGUGAAAUAUAUUGAAUUGGAAAUGAUGAAAGUAGUAUUAAUUAGAGUUAUAAUUGAAAAAAAAAGUAAUUAAUAAUUGUAUUGAAAAGUUAAAUGCAUCAAGAUUUUUGAGACAAUAUUUUUUACAAAUAACUUAGUUAUUAUGGGACGGAGGGAGUAACACUUUAACAUGACAAUGAAAAGUAAAUUUAAGAAUUAAAAUGCAAGAAAUGAAGAGAAUGUUUCUCUAACACAAAACUAUUUUUUUUUUCUCUUUCACUUAUACACUUUUUUAAUGUGUAAAAUAAAAAAUAAAAAAAACUUAUGUAUAAUGAGACGGAGGGAGUAGUUAGUAAGAACAAAGUCGUCAAGGAACCAAUUAACUCUUGAUUUCACUUCCCAAAAACGUCUUGAUAGUGCUAUACUCCCUCCGUCCCAAAUUAUAAGCAAAAAAACAAAAAUCACACUUAUUAAGAAAACUAAAACAUAAAAAUUUGGAGUAUAGUUUUUUGUGUUUUCGUUGGAAAAAGUUUUAUAGGAAGAUGUAAAAACAAUUUUCAUUGGCUAUUGAUUAUGGAAAAAAUGAAAGAAAGAGAAAAUUGAAUGUAAUUUGCAUUUAAUUUUAUGAGAAUAACAAAAAAAAAUCUUGGAAAAGAUUAAAAUUUGUCUUUUUUCCUUAUAUUUUGGGACAAAGAAAAUGAAUUUCUUUUGCUUAUAUUAUGGAACGGAGGGAGUACUUGGUUAAGCUGGAUUGAGCAUUCAAUUCUAAUUUAAGGGCCUUUAAUUUACCUUAAAGAAUAAACAUAGGACAACCAACCACAUAAUUAUUUAUACCAAACAUUUUCCACCACGUGGGUGAUAUCUGGAAGAUGAGAGUCCAUUUAAGUGAGUCAAUGUGACGAAAAAAAAGAUAAAAUGGCAAUUUUAGGAUCGUAAAUUUCUGAAAAUAAUGGAAGUAGUAAUUCUUUUAACGUUUUCAUUGUUUUAAAAAAAUUAUCCAAUCAUAUUUUAUAUGCAAUUUUUGUUUUUUAGAUUAAUUAAACAAUAAAUUUUGUUAACCAGUGUCCUAAGGGUGAUGAUUAAGGAAUUCAAAUGUAAAAGUUUUGUCUUGUAAUUGUAGGAUGUUACAUUUGAUCAAGUAAUGAUUAUACUACUUUUUAUUAAAAACUUACUUGAUUUAGUUGUUUAACCAGUGUGAACACUAGUUAACAUUCUCCUUAAAUAAUUGAUGUUUCUGAAAUAUAAUAUAUAUAUAUAUAUAUAUAUAGCUCAGAUACAUCACUUAUUUAAUGAAGAGUUUUUUUUUUUUCCUUCUCUUAAUUAACGAAUAAAACUAACACUUAUAUAUCUACCAAAAAAAAAAAAAAACUAACACUUAUAUAAUAUAGUUCGGAUACAAUAUAUUUAUAUAAUAUAAUCCGGAUACAUCACUUAUAUAAUCAACAUUGCUAUUUACCGCGACAAGUUUUGUCCCGAAUGCAUCAAGAAUGAAAAUAAGCCAAUUAAAAACAGCUGUUAGUGGAAAUCAUGGGAGGUGGGGGAGAAAAAGAUGGAAAUCAUAAACUAAUGGAUGGAUGGCAUACAUGCCACAUGUGUCUGGAAAAUCUCGGGACAGUUUUAUUUCGUGUGAAAUAGCAUUUUUCCUUAUAUAAUAUAGUCCAGGUACAAGGCAACUAUCACCGGAUGAGGUUUUAUCUUUUUAUUAAUGAAUAAAACUUUUUUUAAGAAGCUAAAUGCAAAAUAUAUUAAAAACCAAAUUAGUUAAGCACAAGAUGUGCCAAACGAAAAACUGUGUAUAACGUCAAAGUAACAAACUCGAUAAAGAAAGAAACCACAAAUAAUAAAAAUCAAAAGCGAAAUUCAGUUUAUGUGUCUUUAGCCACCACAAAAAAUGAAAUUUAAUAUUGUCGAGAAGUUGAUCCUUAGAAGACACGUUGUUAUUGAAAUUUCUCGAGUUUCUCUCCUUCCAAAUUCUCUCCUUCGAAAUAACUCAAAGACAUGUCAGCACACCACUUUAAAACAAGAGCUAAUGUCCUUCCUGAAAGCAUGCGCGCCAAAAAAUUGUUGUGCGUGACAACCAAUAUUUGAUGGAACGACGGUAGUUUUACCCUACCAGAUCAACAAACACCCUACCAGAUCAACAAACAGGGAAAAUAAAUAAAAAAUAUUUUUGCAAAGUAAUUAAACGGAUUCUAAUGUUUAAUAGGAACCGAUCGAGGACAACAUAGAAAUCAUGCUGGAAUUUGAAGAAGAAAUACAAACCUAAUUAAAGAGAGGGGCUAAGUAUUUCCAAGCUGGAACUUGAAAAAGAAAAACCAUGCUCUAAUUAAGUAACUAAGUAAGGUAGUACAUUACAACAAUUGAGAUAAGUACGACACAUUAUGAUGAUUAUGACUUAUGAGCUGUUAAAUGAUGUUGUAGGAUUACUUUUUUCUUGUCAAAAAUAAAUAAAUGAUGUUGUAGGAGAAACAUUAUUAUAAACAUUAUUAUAACUUACAAGGACUAAUGUUUAAAAAAAAAAACUUACAAGGACUAAUAAUGAGACAGAACGAAAGUGUACGUGAGUGUAGGAGACACGUUAUUAUAACAUUUUAUAAAUAUUUAAACGUUGAUAAUAAUUUUGUCGAUCUAUAAACCACUACCAAUUCCUAGUUAAAUAUAUAAUAAUUUUUAUUAUAUUUGUUAGUUGAUGGUAAAAGAUGAAUAUAAUUUGUUACUAUAUUUUUUUUUGACAAAAUAAUUUGUUGCUAUUUAAAAUUCAUAAAUAUAGUCUAUACAUAUAAUUUUAAUAAAAAUAAAAAUUCACCCAAAAAAAAAUCAAAAAUUUCAUAAAAAAAUAAAUAUUGUUUAUAAUUCACGAGCGUUGUCGCAGUACAAAAAUGGAUAGAUGGAUACCCAGUACUAGUAAUUAAUGAAGUUAAUUGGUAAAAUUUCACUCUUACUGGUGGUUGAUGGUAGGGGUGUUUACGGUGCGGUUUGGUUCGGUUUUGAGAGAAAAAGUCAUCCAAACCGCAAGAUAAAAAAACAUGCGGUUUGUGUAACACCCACAGCUGACGAGGGCAGGGGAGUGGUCACCGGUGCACAAGGCACGCCAAUGAGCGGCUCCCGACAGCUUCUAGAGGAACCGAAUCACAUCUGAAUGAGAGGGAUCCUGAGGCCGUGUAGGUGUGGGACUACAUGAAUGAAGGAAUGCUUAUAAGAAUUGUUUGGUAAUACCUAUAUCAACAAGGUGCAUCUUCUUUUUGGUACCCUAUUCCAUAAGAACUCCACAGUUAAGCGUGCUUGACUUGGAGUAGUCUUUGGAUGGGUGACCUACCGGGAUUCCCGAUAAGCAUGCGAGUGAGGACAAAACACGCUGAAAAGACUCGUGUUGGUUUGUAGGGUCAGUCGACAAUGCUUAAAGUCGUCUGGGAUGUUACAGUUUGGUUUGGUUCGGUUGGCUUUAAAAUAAAAUCCGAACCAAACCAAACCAAUAUGGUUUGGGUUGUAUCGGUUGGUGCGGUUUUUUUCGUGACGAUACGAUUUUUUGUUUCCAACAUUAAAAUCAAGAUAAAAAGCUGAAACACAAUAUAUUUUCAACAAUGUUUUAAAUUUCAUCAAACAUUACAAUUUCAUUUUCAUUACAAUGUUUCCAACAACAUAAACCAAAUUAAAAACGCGGACAAAAAGUAAUCUUAUUUUGUAAGAAAUGCAAAAGACUGAGAUGUUCUCAUUCUCUAAAAGUUAAGUAGCACAUAAAUACAUUUUUAAAUAAAAAGCAAAUAAUGAACUUAACAAGAGAAAAAAAAUAUGACAUUUUAUAAAAGUUUUCAUUGAGUUUCUAUGAGUAUUGGUCUUGAUGACAUAUGUUUAAUUAACAUUUUUCUUAUGUUAUGGUUUGGUUUGGUUUUGUAUCUAUUUGACAGUCUCUUUGUACUUUGAGCGACCUCUUUAGUACGCCUUAUGCUAAAGAGGUGUCUCUCUUAUUGUGAAUAUAUAUCAUUUUACCUUCUUAAAAAAAAGUUAAUUGGUAAAAAAAAAAAAAAUUUCUCUCUUGAUUUAUAUGAAAUGACAUUUUUUUUUGGAACAUGGAGGGUAUUGAUUUUUACACCUUUUCAAAAGCCACUCAAGGAUGAAUAUAGAUUUUUCAUGCAUCAAACACAAGAAUCAUUAGCAUAACAUGCUUUGGAAAACACACACAUAUACUUAAAUUAAUGGUUGGAGUAUCAAAUUUAAAAAUAUUGUUGUCAAUACAUACCCCGUCAAUCCUCCUUUUUUACCCAAUAAACAUUGAAAUGUUGCUUCUUUCGUUAAGCAUAAAAACAUCAAAGUCUAGCAAAAUGUUGUUUUUGCGAUGACACAUUUCAUAUAGUUUAAAGGAUGCAUGAUUCGAUUACAAAAACAAAAUACUAAUAAUUCUAGCACAAAGUUUAAAGCUAAGAUUAUAAAGCUUCAUAGCAUGUGGAUAUUCAUUUAGAAAUAUAGGAUUAGGAUUGCCCCUUUCAUCACGGGUCUAAUAGCACCACUUGUCACUACAUGUUAAAAAUGUCCUCUAGUACAACACCGCUUUUUACUUGAUUCCCCUUGUCCAUGAAAAAAUCAAACAAUAUUUGGACACAAAAAUUUGCCCCCACUUUCCUUUUUCUUCUGCCCUAGUUUGUUUGAAAACUCAUAUUGAUCAAAUUUGGCUAUGAAUUCAAACAAAAAAUUCACUCUGCCCAUUGCAUGUGUGGGACCCACAUAUAAAUCCAUGAAGGAUUUCAAUGUCCAUCCAAGUCAAUGAUUCAACAUAUAACAUUGAAUAAUUUAAUUCCAAUUUGCAGUAUUAUGAUUUAGAUUGAUUGCUGCAAUACGGUCCGUGAAUGUAACUCACGAGAAAGAGGUAUCAAGGUAUUUUAUUUUAUUUUUAACAAAUAAAAUUUCAAGGUCUUGUUCACCAUAUAAACCUCCUCACUCUCACUCAAUUCUCUUAAGUGUAUGACUUCAUAGUAAACUACACUACUUUCUUUAAAACAUGGCUAACUAUGCUAUAGCCAAUGUUUUGAUCCUUCUCUUGAACUUGAGUACCUUACUCAAUGUUCUUGCUUGCCCUUAUUGUCCUUACCCAAGCCCUAAACCACCUUCACACCACCCUCCUAUUGUUAAGCCACCAGUUCACAAACCACCAAAGCAUUCUCCUACUCCUAAACCACCAGUUCAUAAACCACCAAGAUAUCCUCCUAAACCAUCACCUUGUCCACCCCCAUCAUCAACACCAAAACCACCUCAUCAUCCCAAACCCCCAGCAGUACACCCACCACAUGUUCCAAAACCACAUCCACCUUAUGUUCCAAAACCACCAAUUGUUAAACCUCCAAUAGUACAUCCACCUUACGUACCAAAACCCCCAGUUGUGAAACCACCACCAUAUGUCCCUAAACCACCUGUUGUGAGACCACCCUAUGUUCCUAAACCACCAGUUGUACCUGUAACACCACCUUAUGUUCCUAAGCCACCAAUUGUUUUCCCACCACAUGUUCCUCUACCUCCAGUUGUACCAUCACCACCACCUUAUGUACCAACACCUCCAAUUGUGAAACCACCAAUUGUUUUUCCACCACAUGUUCCUCUACCUCCAGUUGUGCCUGUAACACCACCUUAUGUGCAACCACCACCUAUUGUAACUCCACCAACACCAACACCUCCAAUUGUGACACCACCAACACCACCUAGUGAAACACCUUGUCCUCCACCACCACUUGUACCUUAUCCACCACCACCAGCACAACAAACAUGUUCCAUUGAUGCUUUGAAGUUGGGUGCAUGUGUUGAUGUGCUUGGUGGACUCAUACAUAUUGGUAUAGGUGGAAGUG